GAGUCCCUCCGGUGGGGGAGCAGGCGCGCAGGAAGGGAGGUUUGGAGAGGAGGCCUCGGGCCUCGGAUCUGCAGCCUCCCGCCUCCGCGCCCGGGCUCGCGUCCCGGGGAGUUCUGCGCAGAGGGAUCCCUAGGGCCCCUUGCUGGACACGCCUGUAGGGGGCAGCAGAGGAUGCCUGGGGUUCAAUUAAAAGCAGACUGAAGUGCAGGAGGUGCCAACUGUGGAGGCAGGACCAGUUAAUGCUGCCUGACAAGAAAACUGAUGUCAGAGAAGUUAAGUGGCUUGUUCAAGCUCCCCCAGCUAGGAAGUGGUAGACUGGGUCUAGGCCGUCUGUGACCGUCCAUUACACUGACCUGUGGUCAUGUAUGUGCUCAGACAAGCUCGCUGGUGGUUUGGGCUGCCCUGGCACCUCUCCCUGAACCCAGCCUCUAUGGGGAUUAAUGUCCCCUUGAAGGGAAAGUGGGCCCAGCUUCUCCAGCACAAAGCAGUCAUGAGCGUGUUUGGUGCAUUUGAUCAUUCCAGAAGAACCAUGAGAUUGGAGAGUUUGUCCUGAAGUUAAUAACAGUUACUCAAUACAGACCUCUCAUUGAACCCAGUAUUUGCAGGGAGUGGGCACAGUGACUGGCUUUGGUCAAGGCAGUGGGUCCCUGAACGACCUCAACAGGCAGAGCCUCCUGCCAACCAGCGAUGGACACAAAGAACCAAAAGAGAAAUGAAUGUUUGCUGUUGUAAGCCUCUGACGCGUUGGGGUUGUUUGUUCCUGCACCACAACCUAACUCAUCCUGACUGAAACCGUAUGUGUUCAGAUUCAUUGCACCAUUUGCCCACUCAAGUGUGUCCCUGUUCCUUUGGAUAAUUGGGUCUUAUUGCAGGAAUAAAACACUCUCCAUGUCUCAGCAUUCUUUAAUUCAAUAAAUAACAAUGGAGC
rnacentral:lncRNA from 1 species